UACGUAGGGCGCAAGCGUUGUCCGGAAUUAUUGGGCGUAAAGAGCUCGUAGGCGGUCUGUCGCGUCGAUCGUGAAAACUUGGGGCUUAACCCUGAGCUUGCGGUCGAUACGGGCAUGACUGGAGUUCGGCAGGGGAGACUGGAAUUCCUGGUGUAGCGGUGGAAAUGCGCAGAUAUCAGGAGGAACACCGGUGGCGAAGGCGGGA
rnacentral:rRNA from 1 species